AGUGACGGCUACUACGUGCCAGCAGCCGCGGUAAAACGUAGGUCACAAGCGUUGUCCGGAAUUACUGGGUGUAAAGGGAGCGCAGGCGGGAAGACAAGUUGGAAGUGAAAUCCAUGGGCUCAACCCAUGAACUGCUUUCAAAACUGUUUUUCUUGAGUAGUGCAGAGGUAGGCGGAAUUCCCGGUGUAGCGGUGGAAUGCGUAGAUAUCGGGAGGAACACCAGUGGCGAAGGCGGCCUACUGGGCACCAACUGACGCUGAGGCUCGAAAGUGUGGGUAGCAAACAGGAUUAGAUACCCUGGUAGUCCACACCGUAAACGAUGAUUACUAGGUGUUGGAGGAUUGACCCCUUCAGUGCCGCAGUUAACACAAUAAGUAAUCCACCUGGGGAGUACGACCGCAAGGUUGAAACUCAAAGGAAUUGACGGGGGCCCGCACAAGCAGUGGAGUAUGUGGUUUAAUUCGACGCAACGCGAAGAACCUUACCAAGUCUUGACAUCCCUUGACGAUGCUGGAAACAGUAUUUCUCUUCGGAACAAGGAGACAGGUGGUGCAUGGUUGUCGUCAGCUCGUGUCGUGAGAUGUUGGGUUAAGUCCCGCAACGAGCGCAACCCUUAUGGUCAGUUACUACGCAAGAGGACUCUGGCCAGACUGC
rnacentral:rRNA from 1 species